CCUGCCGAGGAUGAGGCGAUACCGCCCCAGACUGAGCCCGGUGAUUGAUCGGUUCCCCCUGAGGCUCG
rnacentral:snoRNA from 1 species